rnacentral:lncRNA from 1 species
CAGAAACAUUUUAUUAUACCUGUGUCAACAUUAGACUAAGACCAAUUCAAAUCACAUCCUUCCUCAUCCACCGUCAACCAACAGGUCACCCAUCAUUCAGUCAAUCAGUAUCACCUCUUUCUUGCCAGCACUGUUGAGAAUCAGAGACAGUAAUUCUGGAUAGGAUAUGAUCCAGUCACCUGUGCAGUAUUUCAUUAGCCAAGGGGAUGCCACACAUAAGGGCCUGUACCCUGGUUCCAGUAACCAUUACCAAUUUACAGCAGUUCCUAUUUCUCAGCAGCAAGAGAACAAAAUAGAUGGCUACAGCAUCAACCGCUGUAUUAUAAUCAGAUGACUCCCCAGAAAGAACAUUGAUGGAUACAGAUUAGAUUUGUAGACUCCUCUUAGCUAUGCAGAUCCUUAUGUUGAUAACUGAGUAGACUUUCCAGCUUCUACUGAUUACUCGACAAACAGUAUGGACUGAAAUACACCACAAAUUACUUAGACUUUUAUUUCACUAAAUGACCUUUUACAGAGCAGAAUAGAAGCAGGGGAGCUUUCACUG